rnacentral:rRNA from 1 species
ACGGGUGAGUAACACGUGGGCAAUCUGCCCUUCACUCUGGGACAAGCCCUGGAAACGGGGUCUAAUACCGGAUAUGAGCCCGGGAGGCAUCUCCCGGGUUGUAAAGCUCCGGCGGUGAAGGAUGAGCCCGCGGCCUAUCAGCUUGUUGGUGAGGUAACAGCUCACCAAGGCGACGACGGGUAGCCGGCCUGAGAGGGCGACCGGCCACACUGGGAUUGAGACACGGCCCAGACUCCUACGGGAGGCAGCAGUGGGGAAUAUUGCACAAUGGGCGCAAGCCUGAUGCAGCGACGCCGCGUGAGGGAUGACGGCCUUCGGGUUGUAAACCUCUUUCAGCAGGGAAGAAGCGCAAGUGACGGUACCUGCAGAAGAAGCGCCGGCUAACUACGUGCCAGCAGCCGCGGUAAUACGUAGGGCGCAAGCGUUGUCCGGAAUUAUUGGGCGUAAAGAGCUCGUAGGCGGCUUGUCACGUCGGGUGUGAAAGCCCGGGGCUUAACCCCGGGUCUGCAUUCGAUACGGGCUGGCUAGAGUGUGGUAGGGGAGAUCGGAAUUCCUGGUGUAGCGGUGAAAUGCGCAGA